rnacentral:misc_RNA from 1 species
CCCGAAAAAGUACUUCACAUAUAACGACAUAACCCCGUAAUAUCAGCGGGUGACAAAAUUUACAAGAUUAAUCUAAAUCAAGAGGAGUAAAAUAUUCUUAAGCAAGUACGGUCUGUAGUGAAAAUCAAACCUUCCCCUUCCCUUUCCCCUGCCAACACGAUCGCCUGACAACCGAAAAAGUAAAAUAGACAAAAGUGCCAGUUUUUUGUUGGCUUUCAUGCAAUAAAAUAUCGUUGUACGAGCGAAAAAUAAAAGUGAUGUGCGUUUAAAAAAAUGGCUGAUCUGAAACAAGAUUAAAAAAGAUUGUACGUUUCGAGAGAAGGUUGAAAAAGUGUUAUCAUAAGGUACAUAUUACAAGCUCCUGUUUCAAAGAUGCCAGCUACGAAGGCUUUGAAUAUUGCUGUCAUAUGUUCGAGCAAUAUGAAUAGGAGCAUGGAGGCUCACGCUUUUUUGAGUAAAAAAGGUUUUAAUGUAAAAUCUUUCGGCACGGGAGACAAGGUCAAAUUGCCUGGAAGUGGACCUGACAGGCCCAAUGUAUAUGAUUUUGGAACGACUUACGACGAAAUUUACAAUGACCUUCUGACAAAGGACAAACAACUAUACACGCAAAUGGGCUUGCUUCACAUGUUGGACAGAAAUCGCAGAAUUAAACCAAGACCAGAACGCUUCCAGUGUUCCAAAGACAAAUUUGAUAUUCUUAUAACUUGCGAAGAAAGAGUUUACGAUCAGGUGAUUGAAUGCAUGGAAGGUAGAACGCCGGUAGAGAACCAACCUGUACACCUAAUAAAUAUCGACAUUCAGGAUAAUCAUGAGGAAGCAACCGUCGGAUCCUUUCUCAUUUGUGAAUUAGUAACGACUCUGGCCAAUAGCGAUGAUUUAGACAACGACAUAGACAGCUUGCUGUACGAAUUCGAGUCCACCAAGUUUGGAAGAAUGAUGCUGCAUACUGUACUGUUUUACUGAACAAUUGUCAAGCCGCCGAUAGGAAUAAUAUUAAUAAUCAACAAGAAAAAUAUAUGGAUAUACAUAUAUAUUUAUAUAAAAGGCCACAGUAAGAAAACUGGAAACGGACACUUGAUAGCUGCAUGUGGACGAAAUCCAAAUUGAAAAUAUUGCAGCAAUUCCAUCAUGUUUAAUCAUACUACACAAUUGCAAACGGAAUCAUAUUGUACAUAUACCUAGAAGAAAAAGAAUCAACAAAUAAUCACAGUUACGCUCAAUAUAUUUAUUGAGAUGUUCCAAUUGAAUUGUUAAUCAUAUAAAACGAACAAUUUACAACAACGUAAAGCAUCCAGUUGGACGUGGAAACGAAUUAUGAAAAAGGAUGAGGAAAAAUAGAAAAAUAAAAAGAAUCAACGGCGUACGUUGUACACGAAUAUACACAAUUUGUACAGGGGAAUACGAAAAAUAUGACUAUAAUUAAGAUUUAAAAA